CGUGUGGUUCUAUUUUGUUGGUUUCUAGGACCGCCGUAAUGAUUAAUAGGGACAGUCGGGGGCAUCAGUAUUCAAUUGUCAGAGGUGAAAUUCUUGGAUUUAUUGAAGACUAACUACUGCGAAAGCAUUUGCCAAGGAUGUUUUCAUUAAUCAGGAACGAAAGUUAGGGGAUCGAAGACGAUCAGAUACCGUCGUAGUCUUAACCAUAAACUAUGCCGACUAGGGAUCGGGCGAUGUUACUAUUUGACUCGCUCGGCACCUUACGAGAAAUCAAAGUGCUUGGGCUCCAGGGGGAGUAUGGUCGCAAGGCUGAAACUUAAAGAAAUUGACGGAAGGGCACCACCAGGAGUGGAGCCUGCGGCUUAAUUUGACUCAACACGGGGAAACUCA
rnacentral:rRNA from 1 species